rnacentral:rRNA from 1 species
GAUGAACGCUGGCGGCGUGCCUAAUACAUGCAAGUCGAGCGGACCAAAGAGAGCUUGCUCUCUGAGGUUAGCGGCGGACGGGUGAGUAACACGUGGGUAACCUGCCUGUAAGACGGGGAUAACUUCGGGAAACCGAAGCUAAUACCGGAUGAUAAAGAGAAACGCCUGUUUCUUUUUUGAAAGUCGGCCUUGUGCUGACGCUUACAGAUGGGCCCGCGGCGCAUUAGCUAGUUGGUGAGGUAACGGCUCACCAAGGCGACGAUGCGUAGCCGACCUGAGAGGGUGAUCGGCCACACUGGGACUGAGACACGGCCCAGACUCCUACGGGAGGCAGCAGUAGGGAAUCUUCGGCAAUGGACGAAAGUCUGACCAAGCAACGCCGCGUGAGCGAUGAAGGCCUUCGGGUCGUAAAGCUCUGUUGUCAGAGAAGAACAAGUACCGGAGUAACUGCCGGUACCUUGACGGUACCUGACCAGAAAGCCACGGCUAACUACGUGCCAGCCGCCGCGGUAAGAC